rnacentral:rRNA from 1 species
GACGAACGCUGGCGGCGUGCUUAACACAUGCAAGUCGAACGGUGAAGCGCCUUCCUUUUUGGUGGGUGGGGAGGAGUGGCGAACUGGUGAGUAACACGAGAGUAACCUGCUCCCUCUUGCUGGAUAACCGCAUGAAAGUGUGGCUAAUACGUGAUAUUCUGGAUCUGUUGGAUGAAUGGUCUGGGACAGAUUUGGUGUCGGUGGUGGAUGGGCCCGCGCCGUAUCAGCUUGUUGGUGAGGUGAUGGCCUACCAAGGCGAUGACGGGUAGCCGGCCUGAGAGGGUGGACGGCCAUAGAGGGGCUGAGAGGCCGAGAAGACUACGACGGGCAGCAGCAGGGAAGAAUCUUGCACGGUCGGAAGAAGGCUGAUGCAGCGACGCCGCGUGGGGGAUGGACGCCGUCGCGUUGUGAACCUCUUUCGGGAGUGAAGCAAGGUUGACUUGUUUGUGGGUGUGUUGACGGUAGCUGGAGAAGAAGCGCCGGCUAACUACGUG